rnacentral:rRNA from 1 species
CCUACGGGAGGCAGCAGUGGGGAAUAUUGGGCAAUGGGCGCAAGCCUGACCCAGCAACGCCGCGUGAAGGAAGAAGGCUUUCGGGUUGUAAACUUCUUUUCUCAGGGACGAAGCAAGUGACGGUACCUGAGGAAUAAGCCACGGCUAACUACGUGCCAGCAGCCGCGGUAAUACGUAGGUGGCAAGCGUUAUCCGGAUUUAUUGGGUGUAAAGGGCGUGUAGGCGGGAGUGCAAGUCAGAUGUGAAAACUCAGGGCUCAACCCUGAGCCUGCAUUUGAAACUGUGGUUCUUGAGUACUGGAGAGGCAGACGGAAUUCCUAGUGUAGCGGUGAAAUGCGUAGAUAUUAGGAGGAACACCAGUGGCGAAGGCGGACUGCUGGACAGCAACUGACGCUGAGGCGCGAAAGCGUGGGGAGCAAACAGGAUUAGAUACCCCUGUAGUC